AUAAGCGGAGGAAAAGAAACCAACAGGGAUUGCCCUAGUAACGGCGAGUGAAGCGGCAACAGCUCAAAUUUGAAAUCUGGCUCUUUCAGGGUCCGAGUUGUAAUUUGCAGAGGGCGCUUUGGCGUUGGCAGCGGUCCAAGUUCCUUGGAACAGGACGUCACAGAGGGUGAGAAUCCCGUACGUGGUCGCUAACCUUCGCCGUGUAAAGCCCCUUCGACGAGUCGAGUUGUUUGGGAAUGCAGCUCUAAAUGGGAGGUAAAUUUCUUCUAAAGCUAAAUACUGGCCAGAGACCGAUAGCGCACAAGUAGAGUGAUCGAAAGAUGAAAAGCACUUUGGAAAGAGAGUCAAAUAGCACGUGAAAUUGUUGAAAGGGAAGCGCUUGCAGCCAGACUUGCCUGUAGUUGCUCAUCCGGACUCUUGUCCGGUGCACUCUUCUGCGGGCAGGCCAGCAUCAGUUUGGGCGGUUGGAGAAAGGUCUCUAUCACGUACAUCCCUUCGGGGUUGCCUUAUAGGGGAGACGUCAUGCAACCAGCCUGGACUGAGGUCCGCGCAUCUGCUAGGAUGCUGGCGUAAUGGCUGUAAGCGGCCCGUCUUGAAACACGGACCAAGGAGUCUAACAUCUAUGCGAGUGUUUGGGUGUCAAGCCCGAGCGCGUAAUGAAAGUGAACGGAGGUGGGAACCCUUAAGGGUGCACCAUCGACCGAUCCUGAUGUCUUCGGAUGGAUUUGAGUAAGAGCAUGGCUGUUGGGACCCGAAAGAUGGUGAACUAUGCUUGAAUAGGGUGAAGCCAGAGGAAACUCUGGUGGAGGCUCGCAGCGGUUCUGACGUGCAAAUCGAUCGUCAAAUUUGGGCAUAGGGGCGAAAGACUAAUCGAACUAUCUAGUAGCUGGUUCCUGC
rnacentral:rRNA from 1 species